ACCAAGGCUCUUUUCAGAGCCAUGUGUGGCUUGAAAAGAAAGGCUU
rfam:Papio anubis isolate 1X1155 chromosome X, whole genome shotgun sequence.